rnacentral:rRNA from 1 species
GAUGAACGCUGGCGGCGUGCCUAAUACAUGCAAGUCGAGCGAACGGACGAGAAGCUUGCUUCUCUGAUGUUAGCGGCGGACGGGUGAGUAACACGUGGAUAACCUACCUAUAAGACUGGGAUAACUUCGGGAAACCGUAGCUAAUACCGGAUAAUAUUUUGAACCGCAUGGUUCAAAAGUGAAAGACGGUCUUGCUGUCACUUAUAGAUGGAUCCGCGCUGCAUUAGCUAGUUGGUAAGGUAACGGCUUACCAAGGCAACGAUGCAUAGCCGACCUGAGAGGGUGAUCGGCCACACUGGAACUGAGACACGGUCCAGACUCCUACGGGAGGCAGCAGUAGGGAAUCGUCCGCAGUGGGCGAAAGCCUGACGGAGCAACGCCGCGUGAGUGAUGAAGGUCUUCGGAUCGUAAAACUCUGUUAUUAGGGAAGAACAUAUGUGUAAGUAACUGUGCACAUCUUGACGGUACCUAAUCAGAAAGCCACGGCUAACUACGU